UUCAGAAAAGCAGUAUUUCCUAACAUCCAGCCUGAAUCUCCCCUGGUGCAACUUGAGGCCAUUCCCUCCAGUCCUAUCAGUUACUAAUCAUUUGAAAGAUACCACAUCAACUCCCAUGGUGUGGAUGAGCCGCUCAGCCAGAAGCACUUCCACCUAAGUCUCUCCAAAGAUUAGGAUAUCUACUUAUAUCAAAUGACGGAUUCUGAAGCUAUCUGCAAAUGUUAACCAUUUCUUCAGAGACAAAUCUAUUUGGUGAUAAUCUUAACCUGGAAAGUUAUAUUGCUGGAAAGGAAUCUGCUCAGCACACGUGUCUUCUUGCAACAGAUACCACAAAGUUUAAUUUGUAAUUAUGCCUACUGGGAGACUUGCUGUGUUAGAAAUCUUCAGUACAAAACUUAGACAGCAGCUGGCACUAAGGUAUUAGUUGUGUGAGAUCCCAUCACUACCAUACUCCUUUCAUAUUCAUCUAGAAUCAGGUACCGGACCGAUUUCUGCUCGGAGCUCACAAGAAUAGCAGUGGACUGAUACAUGUUUCAUCCGUCCUGGAAGAUUUUGGCAACAGGGCUUUAGUCUCAUGUUCUCUCCAUACAACUCCUAACACAAAUGUGAUUUGAAUUAACUGAGGUUGCCGACAUCGGAGAUUGUCCUGGGCUGCCACUGCAAGGCGUGACCAAAUGCAUGCAUCUCUCUCCCUUCUCAUUAAAGUCUGUCCCAUCCUUUUCUCUACCUCGCUCAUGUGCUGAAGCCACCUACCUGCCUGUCCUGCCUUAAAGUUAAACAGACGUGGCUGUUGGUAUUUACUAGGUAGAGAGGGAGUCGUCCAAUCCGUUUAGCAAUAUGUGCUUAACACCACAUUGCCACCUGUUUUUCUGCUUUAGUUUUCCAGUAUUUCUUUCCAAGAAGUGUUUGCGUCUCUUCUGAGGCUCAAAACUGACAUCCUGCAGCUGUGCAUUUCCUCCUACACUCCAAAUCACAGGCAGGGUGCACGCUCACACUGCUGCUGCCCCAUUGCUGAAAGCUGAUACCUACCGGCUCUUCAGCGGAGGGAAGCAUGAGCAGAGGACAUUUUGUCAUGCUGGAGAUGGGUGAGCAAGCUGGGGCAGCUGAAUGGGGUCUCUCAUGGAAAAGGGACAUUCCUCCCAUCCACUCUGAGUGACAGCACAUGCUCACUGCCCACUAGGGUGGCCUCUCAGCUGGCAGCCUUGCACCUGAUGCCCAGCUGGAGCUGCUCUUUGUCUCAGUCCUUUCCCAGCAGCUCCAAGCACAAAAUUCACGUCCUUGGACUGAGCAGUAGUGCUUGCAUUUCUCUGAAAAGCAGAAGGGAUGAUAACCUUCUAACCAACCUCAACAUUUGCUGGGUUUAUUCCGAUCCCAGGCUGAUGUGUUAUCACAGCCCCAUGUUAUCAUGCACGGACAAAACAUCACUGGAGACUUCUCCCACUAACUGUUGUUCCCCUUACCCAGGCUGCUGAGGCUUCUCUGAAGCACAGCCCUGUGUUGUUAUGCACAGAAAAACCAUCUCCGGUGACUUCUCCUCCCACUCAGUGCUGUUUCCAUCUAAGCCCCCAUUCAUUCUCCUCCAAGUCUCAACAGCAACUGAGUGGGAGCCACAAACAUGCUGCCACUGGCAGCUCUCAUGGCCACAACUGCUUGGUUUUAUGGAUUUGCUCAAGAAAUUCCAAUACAGAGACCUGUAUCCAUCACCAGGUUCCAGAAAAGUGCACGUAUGUUCUGUGAAAUGAAUAAAUUACCAGGAAGUUUUGAUAGCACCGUCAUACACUGGUAUCAACUGAAGGAGAAUAAAGCUCCGGAGAGGAUACUCUUCUACGUAGGAGGGAAAACUACAGUCGAAAGUGGUUUUCAAGAGAACAAGUACAUGGUUGGUAAAGUUUCUAGUCGGAAUCUGUGUAUGCUUACAAUAAAUGAUGUAAUUCCAGACGACGCUGCUACGUACUACUGUGCCUACUGGGACCCGCACCGUGAUAGGGGCUCAGAGAGCAUCACGCCACAAAUCUCCUUCAACCACUCCUUCAGUCUGAACCACAGAUGGAUUUACAUGGGAAAUUCCCAUACAGAGCCCCGUAUCCAUCACCAAGUCACAAGGAAGUAUACGUCUGCAAUGUCAUUUUGGAGACUUCUCUGGAAAUUUUGGUAACACUGUCAUACAUUGGUAUCAGCUGAAAGAGAAUAAAACUCUGGUGAGGAUGACCUACUUUACAUCAGGGGCAACAGUAGUAGAUGAGAGCUCC